AUUGAACGCUGGCGGCAGGCCUAACACAUGCAAGUCGAGCGGAUGAAGGGAGCUUGCUCCUGGAUUCAGCGGCGGACGGGUGAGUAAUGCCUAGGAAUCUGCCUGGUAGUGGGGGAUAACGUCCGGAAACGGGCGCUAAUACCGCAUACGUCCUGAGGGAGAAAGUGGGGGAUCUUCGGACCUCACGCUAUCAGAUGAGCAUAGGUCGGAUUAGCUAGUUGGUGGGGUAAAGGCCUACCAAGGCGACGAUCCGUAACUCGUCUGAGAGGAUGAUCAGUCACACUGGAACUGAGACACGGUCCAGACUCCGACGGGAGGCAGCAGUGGGGAAUAUUGGACGAUGGGCGAAAGCCUGAUCCUGCCAUGCCGCGUGUGUGAAGAAGGUCUUCGGAUUGGAAAGCACUUUAAGUUGGGAGGAAGGGCAGUAAGUUAAUACCUGGCUGUUUUGACGUUACCAACAGAAUAAGCACCGGCUAACUUCGUG
rnacentral:rRNA from 1 species